rnacentral:rRNA from 1 species
UACGGAGGGUGCAAGCGUUGUCCGGAAUCACUGGGCGUAGAGGGCGCGUAGGCGGCUCGGUAAGUAGGGGGUGAAAUCCUGCGGCUUAACCGCAGGGCUGCCUUCUAAACUGUCGAGCUUGAGCACGGUAGAGGCAGAUGGAAUUCCCGGUGUAGCGGUGGAAUGCGUAGAGAUCGGGAAGAACAUCAGUGGCGAAGGCGGUCUGCUGGGCCGUUGCUGACGCUGAGGCGCGACAGCGUGGGGAGCAAACAGG